rnacentral:rRNA from 1 species
CGAUCUCCCCGCUGUCUCUGAUGUGGACUCAGCGAAAUUGAACUGUGUGUCAAGAUGCACACUUCCCGCGGUUAGACGGAAAGACCCCAUGCACCUUUACUAUAGCUUCGCACUGGCAUCAGGAUUGUGAUGUGCAGGAUAGGUGGUAGGCAUCGAAGCGGGGACGCUAGUUCCCGUGGAGCCAUCCUUGAGAUACCACCCUUCGCACUCUUGAUGUCUAACCGCGGCCCGUUAUCCGGGUCCGGGACCCUGCGUGGUGGGUAGUUUGACUGGGGCGGUCGCCUCCCAAAUCGUAACGGAGGCGCGCGAAGGUAGGCUCAGAGCGGUCGGAAAUCGCUCGUUGAGUGCAAUGGCAGAAGCCUGCCUGACUGCAAGACUGACAAGUCGAGCAGAGACGAAAGUCGGUCAUAGUGAUCCGGUGGUCCCAAGUGGGAGGGCCAUCGCUCAACGGAUAAAAGGUACGCUGGGGAUAACAGGCUGAUGAUGCCCAAGAGUCCAUAUCGACGGCAUCGUUUGGCACCUCGAUGUCGGCUCAUCUCAUCCUGGGGCUGGAGCAGGUCCCAAGGGUAUGGCUGUUCGCCAUUUAAAGAGGUACGUGAGCUGGGUUUAGAACGUCGUGAGACAGUUCGGUCCCUAUCUGCCGUGGGUGUAGGAGACUUGAGAAGAGUUGCCCCUAGUACGAGAGGACCGGGGUGAACGAACCACUGGUGGACCAGUUAUCGUGCCAACGGUAGUGCUGGGUAGCUAUGUUCGGACAGGAUAACCGCUGAAGGCAUCUAAGCGGGAAGCCCCCUUCAAAACAAGGUCUCCCUGAGGGCCGUGGAAGACCACCACGUCGAUAGGCCAGAGGUGUAAGCGCAGCAAUGCGUUCAGCUGACUGGUACUAAUUGCCCGAUAGGCUUGAUUU